GACGAACGCUGGCGGCGUGCCUAAUACAUGCAAGUCGAGCGCAGGAAGUCAUCCGAACCCUUCGGGGGGACGUUGACGGAAUGAGCGGCGGACGGGUGAGUAACACGUAAAGAACCUGCCCUCAGGUCUGGGAUAACCACGAGAAAUCGGGGCUAAUACCGGAUGGGUCAUCGGACCGCAUGGUCCGAGGAUGAAAGGCGCUCCGGCGUCGCCUGGGGAUGGCUUUGCGGUGCAUUAGCUAGUUGGUGGGGUAAUGGCCCACCAAGGCGACGAUGCAUAGCCGACCUGAGAGGGUGAUCGGCCACACUGGGACUGAGACACGGCCCAGACUCCUACGGGAGGCAGCAGUAGGGAAUCUUCCACAAUGGACGAAAGUCUGAUGGAGCAACGCCGCGUAAACGAUGAAGGCCCUCGGGUCGUAAAGUUCUGUUGUAAGGGAAGAACAAGUGCCGCANGCAAUGGCGGCACCUUGACGGUACCUUGCGAGAAAGCCACGGCUAACUACGUGCCAGCAGCCGCGGUAAUACGUANGUGGCAAGCGUUGUCCGGAAUUAUUGGGCGUAAAGCGCGCGCAGGCGGCCUCUUAAGUCUGAUGUGAAAGCCCCCGGCUCAACCGGGGAGGGCCAUUGGNAACUGGGAGGCUUGAGUA
rnacentral:rRNA from 1 species